AACCUGGUUGAUCUUGCCAGUAGUCAUAUGCUUGUCUCAAAGAUUAAGCCAUGCAAGUGAAAGUAUAUGCAUAUUUUAUAUGUAGAAACUGCGAACGGCUCAUUAAAACAGUUAUAAUCUACUUGACAUUUCUACUUACAAGGAUAACUACGGAAAAGCUGUAGCUAAUACUUGCUUUAAUACGUUUGAUUCAUUUUUGUCUCUUACGUAUGUACUUGUUAAGCCUUUAAGAGAAAAGUUUACAACUUAAGGAAUUAUAACAAAGAAGUAACACAUAAUAAGUUUACCUUAUUUAGUGUGUAUCAAUCGAGUUUCUGACCUAUCAGCU
rnacentral:rRNA from 1 species